rnacentral:rRNA from 1 species
GACGUAGGGCGCGAGCGUUGUCCGGAUUUAUUGGGCGUAAAGAGCUCGUAGGCGGCUUGUCGCGUCGGAUGUGAAAGCCCGGGGCUUAACCCCGGUCUGCAUUCGAUACGGGCAGGCUAGAGUUCGGUAGGGGAGAUCGGAAUUCCUGGUGUAGCGGUGAAAUGCGCAGAUAUCAGGAGGAACACCGGUGGCGAAGGCGGAUCUCUGGGCCGAUACUGACGCUGAGGAGCGAAAGCGUGGGGAGCGAACAGG